rnacentral:misc_RNA from 1 species
GAUGAAGAACGUAGCGAAAUGCGAUAAGUAAUGUGAAUUGCAGAAUUCAGUGAAUCAUCGAAUCUUUGAACGCACAUUGCGCCCCCUGGUAUUCCGGGGGGCAUGCCUGUUCGAGCGUCAUUUCACCACUCAAGCCUCGCUUGGUAUUGGGCAACGCGGUCCGCCGCGUGCCUCAGAUCGACCGGCUGGGUCUUCUGUCCCCUAAGCGUUGUGGAAACUAUUCGCUAAAGGGUGUUCGGGAGGCUACGCCGUAAAACAACCCCAUUUCUAAGGUUGACCUCGGAUCAGGUAGGGAUACCCGCUGAACUUAAGCAUAUCAAUAAGCGGAGGA